rnacentral:lncRNA from 1 species
UUUACCUUCAUCCACCUCCAUCAACUCACUUCAUCGGUCACGACCAACACCACUCACAUCAUUUUUACUCAUUUCUAAGAGAAAAAAAAUCUUACACACCUUCAAAUUGUACAUUUCUUCUUUUCACUCUUUGUAAUGUUAAGGUUUGAUUUUAUUAUUUUAUAAUUUUAGAUUUUUUGGUUUCAUCCUUUAUUUGUGUUUUUAUUCAUCCUUCUAACUUAUAGUUUUUUUUCUUCAUGUUAUCAAACUACCAUCUUCACGAGUCUUGAGCACCCCUCUUUAUCUGCGAUGGCAAGACUGAAGGUAGAUUUAAAGUUUUUGUUUUUCGUUUAUUUAUUUAUUUAUUGAGAGUUUAAUUUUUAAGUUGUUGAGUUAGUUUGUUGUUUUGAGUUUUUUAUUUAGAUUUGUUGUUUUCUAGAUUUGAGAUGUUGAUUAUUUGGUUAUAACUUUUUUGGUUUGGUUUGAAGUUCUAUAGAUAUGAGUGGUUGAUUCUUUGGUUCGAACUUUUUUGAUUUGGUUUGAUGUUUUAUAGAUUUGAGUUGUUGAUUCUUUGGCUCUUGGUUGUUUUUAAGGAAGGAGAUGAAGAACUCUUUUUAGUUUAAAAAAUAAUGGUUUUAUGUAAAUCUCU